rnacentral:rRNA from 1 species
GACGAACGCUGGCGGCGUGCCUAAUACAUGCAAGUCGAGCGGAUGGAAGGAAGCUUGCUUCCUAAAGUCAGCGGCGGACGGGUGAGUAACACGUGGGCAACCUGCCCCUAAGAUCGGGAUAACUUCGGGAAACCGGAGCUAAUACCGGGUAUGAUUAUGUCUCACAUGAGAUGUAAUGGAAAGUCGGUUUCGGCUGUCACUUAGGGAUUGGGCCCGCGGCGCAUUAGCUAGUUGGUGAGGUAACGGCUCACCAAGGCGACGAUGCGUAGCCGACCUGAGAGGGUGAUCGGCCACACUGGGACUGAGACACGGCCCAGACUCCUACGGGAGGCAGCAGUAGGGAAUCUUCCGCAAUGGACGAAAGUCUGACGGAGCAACGCCGCGUGAGUGAAGAAGGUUUUCGGAUCGUAAAACUCUGUUGUUAGGGAAGAACAAGUACCAUAGUAACUGAUGGUACCUUGACGGUACCUAACCAGAAAGCCACGGCUAACUACGUGCCAGCCGCCGCGGUAA